rnacentral:rRNA from 1 species
UACGGAGGGUGCGAGCGUUGUCCGGAAUCACUGGGCGUAAAGGGCGCGUAGGCGGCCCGGCAAGUCAGUGGUGAAAGCCCGAGGCUCAACUUCGGGUCGGCCACUGAUACUGCGGGGCUCGAGUCGACUAGAGGCAGAUGGAAUUCCGGGUGUAGCGGUGGAAUGCGUAGAGAUCCGGAGGAACACCAAAGGCGAAGGCAGUGUCCUGGGGAGUACCUGACGCUCAGGUGCGAAAGCCAGGGGAGCGAACGGG